rnacentral:rRNA from 1 species
UGUACACACCGCCCGUCGCUACUACCGAUUGAAUGGUUAUAGUGAGCAUAUGGGAUCCGAUGGAUCGAGCUGGCAACAGCUCUUUCCUGCGGAGAACUAUGGCAAACUAGGCUAUUUAGAGGAAGUAAAAGUCGUAACAAGGUUUCCGUAGGUGAACCUGCGGAAGGAUCAUUA